AAGGUUAAGCCUCACGGUUCAUUAGUACCGGUUAGCUCAACGCAUCGCUGCGCUUACACACCCGGCCUAUCAACGUCGUCGUCUUCAACGUUCCUUCAGGACCCUUAAAGGGUCAGGGAGAACUCAUCUCGGGGCAAGUUUCGUGCUUAGAUGCUUUCAGCACUUAUCUCUUCCGCAUUUAGCUACCGGGCAGUGCCAUUGGCAUGACAACCCGAACACCAGUGAUGCGUCCACUCCGGUCCUCUCGUACUAGGAGCAGCCCCCCUCAGUUCUCCAGCGCCCACGGCAGAUAGGGACCGAACUGUCUCACGACGUUCUAAACCCAGCUCGCGUACCACUUUAAAUGGCGAACAGCCAUACCCUUGGGACCUACUUCAGCCCCAGGAUGUGAUGAGCCGACAUCGAGGUGCCAAACACCGCCGUCGAUAUGAACUCUUGGGCGGUAUCAGCCUGUUAUCCCCGGAGUACCUUUUAUCCGUUGAGCGAUGGCCCUUCCAUUCAGAACCACCGGAUCACUAUGACCUGCUUUCGCACCUGCUCGCGCCGUCACGCUCGCAGUCAAGCUGGCUUAUGCCAUUGCACUAACCUCCUGAUGUCCGACCAGGAUUAGCCAACCUUCGUGCUCCUCCGUUACUCUUUAGGAGGAGACCGCCCCAGUCAAACUACCCACCAGACACUGUCCGCAACCCGGAUUACGGGCCCACGUUAGAACAUCAAACAUUAAAGGGUGGUAUUUCAAGGUCGGCUCCAUGCAGACUGGCGUCCACACUUCAAAGCCUCCCACCUAUCCUACACAUCAAGGCUCAAUGUUCAGUGUCAAGCUAUAGUAAAGGUUCACGGGGUCUUUCCGUCUUGCCGCGGGUACACUGCAUCUUCACAGCGAGUUCAAUUUCACUGAGUCUCGGGUGGAGACAGCCUGGCCAUCAUUACGCCAUUCGUGCAGGUCGGAACUUACCCGACAAGGAAUUUCGCUACCUUAGGACCGUUAUAGUUACGGCCGCCGUUUACCGGGGCUUCGAUCAAGAGCUUCGCGUUGCCGCUAACCCCAUCAAUUAACCUUCCGGCACCGGGCAGGCGUCACACUGUAUACGUCCACUUUCGUGUUUGCACAGUGCUGUGUUUUUAAUAAACAGUUGCAGCCAGCUGGUAUCUUCGACUGAUUUCAGCUCCACGAGCAAGUCGCUUCACCUACAUAUCAGCGUGCCUUCUCCCGAAGUUACGGCACCAUUUUGCCUAGUUCCUUCACCCGAGUUCUCUCAAGCGCCUUGGUAUUCUCUACCUGACCACCUGUGUCGGUUUGGGGUACGAUUUGAUGUUACCUGAUGCUUAGAGGCUUUUCCUGGAAGCAGGGCAUUUGUCGCUUCAGCACCGUAGUGCCUCGUCAUCACGCCUCAGCCUUGAUUUUCCGGAUUUGCCUGGAAAACCAGCCUACACGCUUAAACCGGGACAACCGUCGCCCGGCCAACAUAGCCUUCUCCGUCCCCCCUUCGCAGUAACACCAAGUACAGGAAUAUUAACCUGUUUCCCAUCGACUACGCCUUUCGGCCUCGCCUUAGGGGUCGACUCACCCUGCCCCGAUUAACGUUGGACAGGAACCCUUGGUCUUCCGGCGAGCGGGCUUUUCACCCGCUUUAUCGUUACUUAUGUCAGCAUUCGCACUUCUGAUACCUCCAGCAACCCUCACAGGCCACCUUCACAGGCUUACAGAACGCUCCCCUACCCAACAACACAUAGUGUCGCUGCCGCAGCUUCGGUGCAUGGUUUAGCCCCGUUACAUCUUCCGCGCAGGCCGACUCGACCAGUGAGCUAUUACGCUUUCUUUAAAUGAUGGCUGCUUCUAAGCCAACAUCCUGGCUGUCUGGGCCUUCCCACAUCGUUUCCCACUUAACCAUGACUUUGGGACCUUAGCUGGCGGUCUGGGUUGUUUCCCUCUUCACGACGGACGUUAGCACCCGCCGUGUGUCUCCCGUGAUAACAUUCUCCGGUAUUCGCAGUUUGCAUCGGGUUGGUAAGUCGGGAUGACCCCCUUGCCGAACCAGUGCUCUACCCCCGGAGAUGAAUUCACGAGGCGCUACCUAAAUAGCUUUCGGGGAGAACCAGCUAUCUCCCGGUUUGAUUGGCCUUUCACCCCCAGCCACAAGUCAUCCGCUAAUUUUUCAACAUUAGUCGGUUCGGUCCUCCAGUUAGUGUUACCCAACCUUCAACCUGCCCAUGGCUAGAUCACCGGGUUUCGGGUCUAUACCCUGCAACUUAACGCCCAGUUAAGACUCGGUUUCCCUUCGGCUCCCCUAUUCGGUUAACCUUGCUACAGAAUAUAAGUCGCUGACCCAUUAUACAAAAGGUACGCAGUCACCCCAUUAAGAGGCUCCCACUGCUUGUACGUACACGGUUUCAGGUUCUUUUUCACUCCCCUCGCCGGGGUUCUUUUCGCCUUUCCCUCACGGUACUGGUUCACUAUCGGUCAGUCAGGAGUAUUUAGCCUUGGAGGAUGGUCCCCCCAUAUUCAGACAGGAUACCACGUGUCCCGCCCUACUCAUCGAGCUCACAAUAUGUGCAUUUUUGUGUACGGGGCUGUCACCCUGUAUCGCGCGCCUUUCCAGACGCUUCCACUAACACACACACUGAUUCAGGCUCUGGGCUCCUCCCCGUUCGCUCGCCGCUACUGGGGGAAUCUCGGUUGAUUUCUUUUCCUCGGGGUACUUAGAUGUUUCAGUUCCCCCGGUUCGCCUCAUUAACCUAUGGAUUCAGUUAAUGAUAGUGUGACGAAUCACACUGGGUUUCCCCAUUCGGAAAUCGCCGGUUAUAACGGUUCAUAUCACCUCACCGACGCUUAUCGCAGAUUAGCACGUCCUUCAUCGCCUCUGACUGCCAGGGCAUCCACCGUGUACGCUUAGUCGCUUAA
rnacentral:rRNA from 1 species